GACGAACGCUGGCGGCGUGCUUAACACAUGCAAGUCGAACGGAAAGGCCCUGCUUUUGUGGGGUGCUCGAGUGGCGAACGGGUGAGUAACACGUGAGUAACCUGCCCUUGACUUUGGGAUAACUUCAGGAAACUGGGGCUAAUACCGGAUAGGAGCUCCUGCUGCAUGGUGGGGGUUGGAAAGUUUCGGCGGGUGGGGAUGGACGCGCGGCUUAUCAGCUUGUUGGUGGGGGAGUGGCUUACCAAGGCUUUGACGGGUAGCCGGCCUGGGAGGGUGACCGGCCACAGUGGCCUAGGGAAAGGACCAGGGGUCAAAAGGGGGCAAAGGGUGGGAAAUUUUGCCAAACGGACGGAGUCUGUAUAGAAAACCUCCGGGUGGGGAAGGCCGUCUUUCGGGUAGAAACCGCUUUCGCCUGUGACGAAGCGUGAGUGACGGUAAUGGGUAAAGAAGCACCGGCUAACUACGUG
rnacentral:rRNA from 1 species